CGAGUUUCAUAGUAGUUGGGGGGAAGCACGGGGAACUCGUAUUAAUACCGCAUACGACCUACGGGAGAAAGGGGGCAGUUUACUGCUCUCGCUAUUAGAUGAGCCUAAGUCGGAUUAGCUAGAUGGUGGGGUAAAGGCCUACCAUGGCGACGAUCUGUAGCUGGUCUGAGAGGAUGAUCAGCCACACCGGGACUGAGACACGGCCCGGACUCCUACGGGAGGCAGCAGUGGGGAAUAUUGGACAAUGGGGGAAACCCUGAUCCAGCCAUGCCGCGUGUGUGAAGAAGGCCUUUUGGUUGUAAAGCACUUUAAGCAGUGAAGAAGACUCCAUGGUUAAUACCCAUGGACGAUGACAUUAGCUGCAGAAUAAGCACCGGCUAACUCUGUGCCAGCAGCCGCGGUAAUACAGAGGGUGCAAGCGUUAAUCGGAAUUACUGGGCGUAAAGGGAGCGUAGGUGGCUCUAUAAGUCAGAUGUGAAAUCCCCGGGCUCAACCUGGGAACUGCAUCUGAAACUGUAGAGCUAGAGUAUGUGAGAGGAAGGUAGAAUUCCAGGUGUAGCGGUGAAAUGCGUAGAGAUCUGGAGGAAUACCGAUGGCGAAAGGCAGCCUUCUGGCAUAAUACUGACACUGAGGCUCGAAAGCGUGGGUAGCAAACAGGAUUAGAUACCCUGGUAGUCCACGCCGUAAACGAUGUCUACUAGUCGUUGGGUUCCCUUGGAGACUUAGUUGACGCAGCUAACGCAUAAGUAGACCGCCUGGGGGAGUACGGCCGCAAAGGUUAAAACCUCAAAUGAUUGGACGGGGGCCCCGCCCCACCGGUGGAACCAUGGUGUUUAAUUCCAUUG
rnacentral:rRNA from 2 species